rnacentral:rRNA from 1 species
CAGCAGCCGCGGGAAUACGUAGGGUGCAAGCGUUAAUCGGAAUUACUGGGCGUAAAGCGUGCGCAGGCGGUUCUAUAAGACAGAUGUGAAAUCCCCGGGCUCAACCUGGGAACUGCAUUUGUGACUGUAGAGCUGGAGUGCGGCAGAGGGGGAUGGAAUUCCGCGUGUAGCAGUGAAAUGCGUAGAUAUGCGGAGGAACACCGAUGGCGAAGGCAAUCCCCUGGGCCUGCACUGACGCUCAUGCACGAAAGCGUGGGGAGCAAACAGGAUUAGAUACCCGCGUAGUCCCUGUCUCCUUAUA